GUUGAAAUGAUUAGGAUACUUAUUUGACAUGCAACGUUUGUUUACCAUUCUGAGCCAUGAGACAGACCCUGUCAUCGGCAGUCUUAGGGUCUUGGUCUUGCAAAGUGAACUUUAAAUUGAAAUCACUUCCAGUCGAGCCGGCACCAAGAUUUUGCAGAGCACAAUAAUUUCAAGUCUUCAGUAUGAGUCGCAUCGCUGCUCUGAAUGAUGAGGAGCCCACCCAGCUCAGCACUGGAGAGAUCCAACCUGUCAUCACAAGAGAGGCUCAGGAGGAUGCCGCCUACCAGCAGUACACCGAGGCCCUUAGACUGCAGGCAGCAGGCGAUGAUGACGGCGCUGACGUGCUGUUCCGUGCGGUGCUCGCCUCUCCAGCUCUGGCAGACACGGCUGAGCCAG